rnacentral:lncRNA from 1 species
UUCCACAUUCUAUUAUUUUUUUAAAGGAUAACUUAACUACAUUUUAGAAAACGUAGGGGUCUUAACCCGCCCUGUGCCCUGUUUAUCUCUCAACAGGAACAGUCUGCGAUGUUAAAGAGUGCUCCCAAAUCCCACCGCCGCACAGCGGCGCUGAGUUACAGGAGGAGAUCCGGAGCGUUAUAGAACAAAUUCAAUCACUGACCAGAGUAGUAACUGAUUAUAAAACGCUAAAAGGCAGCAGCACCUCAAGGUCAGGGCAUAUCCAAGGCGAUGCUUCGUCCCGACCCGGAGGAGACCCAUCCCUGUUGGAGGGUGUCCACUUAAACUCCUAUUAUAGCGUCUUAGUUAACCUAUAUUCGGUAUACAUGCCGUUAAUGAGCGAGCGAUUCGUCAAUAACCUCCCCGAAACACUCGUGUGUAUCCUGUCCGGGACACAAGAAUGUGGCCUGGAAGCAGAGUUAACGAGGGUGGUCGUUCUAGAACUCGCUAAUCCGUUGUUGGCGCUUUUGUCGUUUAUGAGGUCGGAGGGAUGUACCCCUAAGGACACGGGUGCGGGCAGCUUAUUCAGGUCCUACUUGAGGAUGGACGAGGUGAGCACGGCGGAACUCACCGGCUUCCAGGAAAUGCUUGUAUUGGCAAUGUCACAGGUACCCCAGUCUGGGAGUCUGAUGUCGACUAUAAGUCGACUUUUGGACAUGGUUGUGACGUAUUUCUCAACGAAGAUGGGGACUCUUAUCCAAGUCCCCAUUGAUUACGUGAACAUUGGUUUACAGUUUGGAAUUACAGUUCCUUCGCUUAAUCAAACCGAGCAAUGCCAGCAAGGGAAUCUGAAGCAGCUUAUAAUGUGGGGAAUGAAACACAACGUCAGCUGGUCCUUCGGCCCCUCCAUACUGGACAUCUUCCUGGGCUCAGAAUCCUCUCUGUGCAACGACCCCGGUUCAGAAUGCCCCAGUCCUGCCGGCCACUACAGCCGCCCUGCCUCCCAAACCGCCACCAAUGACGACGAUGAAGACUCCAUGUUCAGCUGCAACCGCCACAACCUCACUGUCUUCAACGAGACCCCGUGCGCCCACGUCCUUGCCGCUCCGCCGGAGGACCCCCCCACCUCGCUGGGGGUGUUCUGCCGCGCACUCAGCCAGCUCAGCCCCGCGCAGCUGGAGCACGUCUGGGGUAACACGUGUCACGCCAUCCAGGCGCUGAUGUCGCCCGUCCUCGCCCGGGCGCCCGCUUGUGACACCGGAGGCUACACGCCGCCACCGCCGCCGCCUGUCCUGCCCCUCCCCCCGUUGCAGGCCCGCCGCGCCAGGGCGUCGCCCAACCUCCGAAACCUGGUCUGUGACUAUGACUCCUGGUUUCAGGGUGAGGCAGUGGACGCCGGGGUGGUGAGCUUGUGCUCCGAUAACGACCGCGCCCUGUUCGUGGAGCAGGUGUGUGACAGCCCGCUGCGCAUGAUGCAGCUGCUGUCGGACCCCAACAACCACUGGAUGUUGGACUUUUGUGGUAACCUGACGUCGAACCCAGGAAUGCUGCUGAGCCUCUUCUGUGCCUACGAGGGCUGGAUGAACCAGCCGGAGGUGCCCUCUGCCAUGGUGGCCUUCUGCUGGAGCAUGGACGGCGGCAGGCUGAAGGAUCUGGUCUGCAAGGACCUCGGCCUCUUCAACUUCUUGUUCAUCAACCCGGACAACGUGGCUCUGAUCCCCAACUGCACGCACCUCGCCCUGCAGUUGCCGACGGAAGGGACCCUGGACGAGUUGGUGGCGGACUCCUGCCGCUACUCCGAGUGGCACGAUGUCAUGCAGAUCCCCAUGAACGUCAUGUCCCUCUGCACCCGCAACGAUGCCGCGCGAUUCGCCGCCGAGGUGUGCGCCAACGCCACCUUCUUUAGCGCUCUGCUGCAGAACCAGGUGUACGCCAGUUGGCUGGAGGUGUUCUGUGCCAACGUGUCUCAGGUAGCCCCGCAGACCACGCCGCCAUCCAGGGUCAUCUACUGGUGCGACUACGAGAACUGGGGCGACCGGCACGUGGACCCCUCGGUGGUGGGGCUGUGUUGGCAACACGAUAAGGACAACUUCACCACGAAGGUGUGCUGCAACUCCACGCUGUUCGAUCAGCUGGCGGCGGAGACCCAGAACAAAUGGCUGCUGACGGCGUGCGGGGACAGAGACGUGGCGGAGAUGAUACCACAGGUUUGCAGAUACUCGGAGUGGACCCGGCCCAUCAUCGUGGACAUGACCGAUCUGGCGCGCUGUGCUGAGCUGGACCCCUUCAACUUCACCACCAGGGUGUGCGCCGAUGGCGUUGUGCUGAAGCACCUCCUGGCCAACCCGGACAACAUUUGGCUGCUGCAGCACUGCAUCAACGGGUCCCAACCCGGGGAGCCGCUGGGCUUCAACCUCUUCGAGCAGUGCCAGUACGCCAGCUGGGGCCUGUCGCUCCCGGACCAGGACCUCAUGGCUCUGUGCUGGAAAUACGACCAGGUGAACUUCGCUAGGUCAGUCUGCCUAGACGUCAACCUUCUGGCCUGGCUCGCCCAGGACACUUCCACCAUGUGGGUGAGCCAACUGUGCCACAGCUUCAGCCACCACGGUGCAAACGACAGCGGCCCCGGGGAGGAGAGCCAGCCCUGCCUGGCCCGAGAGCUGGUGAUGAGGUUUAACUGGUCCUGCUCGGCCGACCUGGCUCCGGUGUGCAGGCCCGGGGCGAGCGUCACGGCCUCCCUGCAGGCGGUGCUGCGCUGCUGGGUGGAGAGCCUGACCCAGCGGAUGCAGGGUCUGUCGGUGCUGAACAAGGCGGCCAGCAUGAGCGUGGUGAUGCUGGUGGCGCUGGAGGAGAGGCAGCUGACGUCGCUGCGCGUCACGGACCAUAUCCGGCGGAGCGUGCUGAACUCCACCGCCCUCUACCUGGAGAGAGAGACCAACUUCGAGAACAAGAGGGUCCUCCUGCAGUGCUUUGGGAAAGAACUCACCAGCCUGAUGGAGUCGCGCACCAUACUGGACCCAGAGGUCUUCCUCAUCCAGGAGUAUUUCCGGAUCCCUCUGGAGAGUCUGCGUGCUGUGCUGAGUGGGGUGGACAACACCACGGCCCGGGAGAUCCUCGAGCACUACAGUCGGCAUAAGAACUCACUGCAGCUAACGGAUGUCUAUUUAUCGGCCAUGGUGUCUGUGUUCAUCCCCGUCCACCUGUGGAAGGACAGCAGGCUGUUCACAGAGCUGGCUCCUCUUCUACCCUGGGCCUCCCUGGCCGACAUCAAUGCUCUACCCCCACUGCAGUCCAACGCCUUUGUCCGGGGUGCGAUCAACGACAACCUGGAACUCAUGCGCCUGGCCCAGCGCCAGGCGUUUGGCCAGUGGUUCAGCCGGGCCAUGGCGCCGCUCAACAUGACCAGCGGCGCACGCUCUCUCAUCAGGGACACCGGGAACCUGAUCGUCUACCUGCCCUUCCAAAGCUUCCAACACCUCUCCCCUGCUCAGCUGCUGGACGGGCUGGAGGUGCUGCGGAGAAACACGCCUCAGCACCCUGCAGCAGGACUUUCAUAGCUCAGAGAAUUCAUCGGUGCCUACAAGAACCUCUCCAUUCAGGACUUCAACAG